rnacentral:rRNA from 1 species
UAGGGAAUAUUGGGCAAUGGGGGGGAACCCGUGACCCAGCAACGCCGCGUGAGGGAAGAAGGUUUUCGGAUUGUAAACCUCUGUCCUAUGUGACGAAGGAAGUGACGGUAGCAUAGGAGGAAGCCCCGGCUAACUACGUGCC